AAUCAGAGAAUGCUUAUCACGAAGCAGGAAGUGCUCUCCACUUAGCCUGAUGACAUGGGGGAGAGAAUUUUCUUUAGUUUUUGGUUGUUGUAUUUUGGUCACAAUGAUGGAAAGUUGACUAACACACUUAUUUAUGGCCUCUGAAAGAAUACUUUGCCAACUGUUCUCUACUUUCAGUGCCACAUUGCAACUCCUCUGCAGAUGUACCUGAUCUGUCGUUUUCUGAAUCUACACACCUGAGCUCUAAGAAAAAUGUGAUUGUGACAUGCUUUACAUUCAAUAUCUUCACAUGUGCCUACUGCAGAGAAAAAGAAGAAUGCUCUAAUACAAUUUUUCAUUCUUUAGAAAACAUAAGCUCCACAAAUUAAAUAAAUUACCCAGGGUAACCCAGCUAGUAAGAGGCAGAAGUAGGUGUAAAAUGUAGGACUUUUGACUACCAGUAUGUUUUGUCCCCACUAAUCUAUAUUGUUUUGUUGUUGCUUAUCUUUGUGUUAUCACUUUCUUAUUAGUAGUAAAAUUAAUUAAGUUUUGUAGAUAGAGGAGAGAUCUUAUUAUAAAUUUCAGAUUUUUAUAUUUUUAAAAAUUAUAUAUGUAGAAAUGCAAAUAAGCAAAAACAAAACAAAACCCUCAAAUACCAGAAAAUGAACAAAGCAAACACCAUUUACCUGCUGCUUGGUAUCUUAACACUGUAUAUAUUUGGAAUCUUCCUCUAUAUUUUUAUAUACAUAGACAAAUUUACAUAUGCAUAAAUGUAUAUGUACUUUUACAAAAAUAUUGUGUAACUUUUAAUUUAUUACAUAGGAUUUUAAAAUCAUUGUCUCAUUUUAUUUUUUUAACAACACUAUUUGGUACUACUUAGUGUAAGAGUCUUAAAGUCCCUAGGAUGUGAUCUGGAGACAAGAAAAUCUUCAUUGGAUUGCAAGUUUUUUAUGUUACAUUGUGGAUGGCAGAGGUAUUUAACUUUAAUAAUAACUAAUAUUGGAGGUAGCUAGGAUUUAUUGAAUAUUAUUUUCAUUUAUUACAGGGAAGGAAAUUAUUUUCUAGAUUAAAAAAAUAGACUAAGAAGAUCCUACUAUUCCCUUUGACCCAUCCUCUGCUCUAAAUGAUAAUAGAGAAAAUACUCUUUGAAUAACAAUAGAUCAAAGUGGUUCACAACAGAACAGAGUGUAUACCAUUUAAUGAGUGCAGCACAAAUCAGAAUACCAUUAAAUAGGAGAAUUCUUGAGAACAUGGAUUUAAAUUUUCCCUCCCAUAAUCUUCUGGUAAAAUAAACUAAAUGAAUGUAAACCACAUAUCUUCCAUGAUUUAUUACAAUUAUUACCUGUAUUUUACCUUAGCUUAGGAUUGCUGAUGAAGAGGAUCCAGCACACAGAAAAAAAAAAGCACUUGGAGAUGAAGAUAAAUGUAUAGUUGUAGAUGGUCUGCAUUACAAACAAAAGUUCACAGAUGAAGGGUAUUUUAAUGCAAUUUUUAGAGAAUGUAAUUAAAUACCUAUGC